GCUGGAGAGAAUGAGCUUGGAGCCGCAGGGCUUAAUCCCGCGCGGCUCAGAGAUGGGUUUCUGGACUCGCGAAGCAGCUGCAACAAGGCAUCACUCACUGUAUAAGUAUUUCCAUUUCUGAGAGCAAAAGGAAGAACUUAAGCGGGCGGCACUUGGAGUGUAAAUUGCUUUGUAGUAUUUAAAGGCAGAAUGGAUCCUGGGCAGCCGAGCUGCAACAAACCGGCAGGACUUCCUGUGAAAUCAUGACCACCAUGUGCUCUUUCAGCCUCUAUCAGUUCCUACCUCUAAGCACCUGAGAGCCAAAGCAAACCACAGGAAACCACAGGUACUAACUCUUUUAGACCUGAUGAAGUGUCUCCCAAAUACAGUCUGGCAUGACUCAAACUAAACGUCAGCUUUUCCCGGCUCUCAAGCCUGCUGGUCCCUGAACUAAAACUCACAUUAUCAACUCUACUGGUUCUUAGGCCUUUGGAGUCAGACUGGAACUACAGCAUUGACUCUUCCGGAACUCCAGCUUACUGACUACAGAUCUUGGAACUUUUCAGCUUCCACAACCAUGUAAGCCAAUUCCUUUCUAAUAAAUAAGUCUCUCUCUGUAUAUACA
rnacentral:lncRNA from 1 species